rnacentral:misc_RNA from 1 species
CGGGCUGUCACAUACCUGCAAGGCGUCGACGCAGAGAGGAAGAAGGCCAAAACACCGCGAACUCAAGAGUAUCGGCCGAUCUCGCCCCCCCCCCCCCCCUCGAUGCCGGCCAAGGAGACGCAGGUGUACUGGCACGACCUUCCUGCGCCACGGCCACCGUGGCGCAAUGCGGAGGAGUUGAAGCAGUGCGUGCUUGAAAGCAAACGGAUUGCCGCGCAGAUGGCGCGGCAGCAGUGGCGCAGCGUGUGCGGUGCCGUCCCAGCGCUUCAAAGCUCGAUUCCUCGAGCCCUACUAUCGCGUGCGGAGCAGGUUAGCCGCGCCGAGCGUCUGCGCGACCGUGCGACGCGGCACAUUGAGCGCCCAGUGCUCUUCCGCCGCGUCGUGCCGGAACCGCACGCCACACCGCUGCAGGUGGUGAACCUCAUCAUGGAACACCUGCGGCAACGCCCGGUGCUGACCGCAGAGGCGGCGGAGGUGGCAGAGCGUGUGACGCUGCAUUUCAAAAUGCUGACCCAGUCAUCGCAGCAUCGGCGAGAGGGCGGGGCGUCGCGCCCUCGGUGCAAUCGUGGCGGUGCGGGGCCUCGUGGUGGCGGCACGGCAACGGAGUCUGUCCUGUCUCAGGUGCAAGAGCAGGACGACACGCGCUUGGGGUUGACGUCUUCACAGGCGACAAUCGGCGGCACGGCUGGGUCUCUCUCCAUGGCGCUCCAAGACUCCCUCCUGCUGGACACCGUGGCCGAGUUUUGUGCUGCUCGCGAGCUGGUGUUUCGGCGGCUCUCGCGGGCAGAUCUUCGAGAUAUGCGGCACCGCGUGUCGUCAGUGGAGGCCGUACCGUACCGUCGCGUGGUGGUGCUUGCCGAUCGCCACGACCCGAUCUUUGCAGUGCUGUUCGGGGUGUCGCGCCAAGUGACGCCGGAGCCGUUUGUGGUGUCCGCGUUGCAGCUGGACGGUAAGACGCCAGAGUCCAUAGCGCGCUACCGCAAGACGGAAGCUCCUGUCACACAGGUGUUCUGCAUGGCCCCGGCACCGGUGCCGUGGCGCCGCAUCACUACGAAUAUUUCGGUCUCGACACUGCGAGACGAGUUUGUCGUGGCGGUGAUUGAGCGUGACGAGGAUGAGGAGACGGCUGGUGCGGAUAAGAACGGGGAUCAAGUCUUGACUCACCGCAGCGGAGCGAAGCGCGGCCGCACCGCGGUUACAAGCGCGGCCGCGCGGCCGCGGAAGAUGCAACGGCAGCGACUGGUGGAUCUGCUAGGAGGCGACGAGGAAGAGGAGGGUGAAAUGGGCCUUGUUUCUGAUGCAGGCGAAGACGGCGAUGCCGAGGCGGCCGUCAUCUUGAACCCAGCAGCCACCCCAACAGUGGUGUCUUCUUCCGCUACGGAGAGGGUGCCGCUCGAGCGCCGAUGGCUCGGUAGCGCCCCGCUGUUUUCCGGCACGACCCAACUUGCUGAGACAGCCCCCGGUGAGGUGGCGGUGGAGCUGGCGGGCCCCACUCGUGGGGCAUAUGAUCCGCUACUGAAUCUGCCGCGCUCGGAGGGGGCGGCACGGAGGCGCGGGUCGCUGCAGCGCGCGUGGUACCGCCGUCUGCUCCCCAAAGGCGCUGACGAUUUCAUGGCGCGCAUGCACACCUAUCAGGCGAACGAGUAGCGAAGAUGGCGGUGACGCACACAACCGCCGUCACAGAUCGCGCGACGGCGACCAGAGAGGAGGCGCUGGGCCAGAGGAAGUGAAGCCGUCGCGCACUCAAACGGCACUGCUGAUGCCAACGAUGUGGCCGCAAAUGCGACGUCUUCAUGGUGUUCUCCUCCUACCCUUGUUUCCUGCUGCCGUCGCUCCUCUUGGGCUGCGCGUGUGCCAGGGCCAAGAGCCAAGUCUCAAGUGGUGCGCCCCUUGCGAACUCACACCACGCACCGAAAACAAAGAGCUAGCCGACAUUGGGGGCAAGGCGGAGAAAACAACCACCAGCAACAACGAAAGAAAGAGAGGCGCUGAAAGAGGAGUUGAGCGGAUUUGGGGGGUAUGGAAGGAUAGAGGAAGAGAAGGCGGGGUCUCUGCGUCGUGAAGUGCGCCGCGCUUGCGUGCCUCUUUCAGCCUUCCUCCCUCCUUCUCUCCCGCAGCACAGUGCGCGGCUGCAAGGCUUUUCUUUUUGUUAACGCGCUGCGCCGCCGAAAAGAUGGUGACCUUCCUCGGGCGUCACAUGGUGCAUGACGACUGGACUGGGUUGAAGAAGCGGGCGCGAUUUGCCAGAUGGAGAGCCUUCUGCUGCCUUUCCAUGUCUGAAUCUUCUCUCUUCGCCCAUUUCUCUAUGCGCUCUUUUUGUGUGUGUGUGUGCGGGGGGGGAGGGGUUCCUCCCUCUUCCACGUUACGGUCUUCUGAAUCACAG